rnacentral:lncRNA from 1 species
CCCGAAUAAUCCAGUCGUUAUAUUACGAUCACUUCGAUCACUCCAUUAACCAUUUCCUCGAGAAAAGUAGUGGAUAGGGGCGCUGAAUUAUUCGAGUUAGUACAUGGAGGAAAGAUAUUCAAAGAUUAGGAGCGACGAUUCAAUAGCCAUUUGUGUAUUGUAUUUGUCGUGGUUGAAACGGCACCAGGAACAUAUCAGGAUAGACAACAAAAGUCUGUAAGUAUCUAUUUUAUGUAUUUAUAAAUAUUAACAUAGAUAUUAUAAGCCUUUCAUGCCUUCUGUUGACAAAUUUUCUUAACUAUGCACUUUUUUAGUAGACCACCGAUGUCCUUUUCGAACUAAAAGAACCUCUUUGAAAAGACACACCUCAGUCGAAUCUUUCUUCUCAAAUGAAUGCCUGAAUGGUCAUCAAAUUUAUACUUGUUAUGGGCAGGCAUUUUCGAAUAAUUUUUAAAAAAAAUGUAUUAAUUCUGACUGCAAGGAAUUUUAAAUGGUAAAUAAUAUACAUUGUAUCUCGAGGGAAAUGUACACACUUAGACAACAGUGAAUUUUUCAUAAAUAUUAUAUAAUGGUAAAAGUGUAGCAUACACAUGAUAUAUAUCAUGUGUAUUAACGAUUAAACUCUGGAAGAAAUAUAGUCCAGCAUGAAUACAAAUUAAUGGGUCCUAUUCAGAAAAAAAAAUUUCUCAGAAAGGUAUCUCUUUCUUCAGAGGUUUAUAUGAAACGUUGAUGUCUGUUGUGCAGUGAUUUUUUUUUUUUCCGCCUGUAUGCGAGACAUGGCAUGGUAGGUAUUGCAACCAAGCAACGGCGGCGACGAUGGUGUACACUCUUUGUUUGAAGCAUUAUAUUUCAUAGGUUAGACAAUCUAAAUGUUUCAUACGAUAUGUUACGAAAUUUCCGUCUGUCAUAUAUCAUUGUCCCGGCAACCUCAUUUUCAUGGUUCAGUAACUGCUUGAUACAUUUUGUUUUGUUAAAUGAAAAACUCACUUAUUAUGAGUAAUAUGAUAACUAUGUUUGGUAUAUGGGUUCCUAGCAACAUUUACAUGUUCGUCAGGUAGGUACAUGUAGGGUUAACCUGACCUCGACCUUAUUCCAUGGAUCAUUUAUCAAAGAUAAAGUAACUUAAGCAAGACUGUAUCUAGAUACUAUAACUAGUCAGUCAUCUAUAUUUGCUGUAUUGAUUAUUGAAAUGAUUGUAAGCUGUACAUAUCCACCCGAUAGGUUUCGUCUGACCUUGGCCUCAAUUUCAUAGUUCAUUGGCCGAUGUAUAGUGUUGUGGUUUGGUCUAUUUCUCAGAUGCCUUAAGCAGUAGGGUCACUAUAUACUGUGUAUCAUGUAUGGAAUCAUUGUCAGCUGGAAAUGUCCGUCUGACAGGUCUCAAUUGACUGCGACCUCAUUUUUAUGGUUCAUUGGACAAUUUUUAGUUGUGUGGUUGGGUCAAUUUUUCGGGCAUUAUAAGCAAUAGGUCAAUAAUAUGUAGUGUAUGGAACAACCAUGACAACUGUGGUGUCAUGUCUAUCUGUCGGGGUUAACAUGACCUUAACCUAAUUGUUUGAUGAUAAGAUGUUGUAUUAAGAUCUGAUUCUCAGGUACUAUUAGCAACACCAGAACACACCCACAAAAUCGCGGUCAUAUACAGCUUGUGAACUGGGAUGAUUUUUUGUAUUAAAAAGAUAUUAUGUAUGGAGAAUUUCAUAAAAAGGUAUCAAAAGCCCUCUCCCUUUUUUCAAAGUCUGAUAUUUGUUUCCUUUCUGUUAAAUUCAUAUUUUUUUGUGUCUCUGGUCUCAGACCACAAUUAUUCUUCUCCUUUGCUACAAUGCAUCUUUUGGUAAAAUUUGCACCGCUCCAAACAUGAAAUAAAUGUAACUGCUUAUAUUUAGACCAUAUUAGUCUAAUAAAAUAUGCUUCUAUGACAAUCCAUCAGUGCUUUUUCUUUUGAGGGCAUUAUUAACAUGCCAAUGGUAGGAUAUGAAUCUUGUAUAUAUGACUGACCGACUAAGGCUAAUUUGAGGGGUGGUCGGAGGGGUCCUGAUCCCGAAAUCCCGGGCUUAAAAACAUGAAAUCCCGAGAUGCAGAAUUUAAAGAAAUUCAUAUCCCGAAAUCGAAAAAUAUAUUCCCGGAUCCCGCAAGGGUCAAUCCCCAAAUCCCGAGGUCCCGAAAAAGUCCUGAUUCCCUCUUAUCCCUACCCUACUUUCUUUUUUGCCAACUCACUACUUUCAAUUUCAACAAUAAAUUUUAUGCCCCAUUUUUUGGCAUUGUGUUUUCCAGUCUGCGAAUCUGUGCGUUCGUUCGUUUGUUCGUCCUCUGUUCGUCUGUCCCAUGUCAUACAUUGUAGUGCAAUGUUAAGUUAAGUAAAACCUCCAUACUAAAGACUUUCAACAUGAUUUGAAUGAUAAGUAAGAAAAAGGCGAGACAUUUGCACUCAUAUUUUGGUAAUAAAAUGUGUAAAGUGUUGACAAAAGUACAUGUACCUAAAUUUCAAUAUAUUUUUGUAUCAGAGUGCCGAAGGCGCAUCUUUAACAUUUUGAGAGGAAAAUGGAUAUUUUGUUGAAGGGGGGAAUGUGUUGGGUACAUUACUUAUACUUUUACCUGAGGAAGCUGCUGUUCUUUUUGAAACAUGUCUUACUUGUUUUCUGGUAUGUUGAAUGGGUAGGUAAAAGUAUUGUCAACACCAGUCCUGUGUUUUGUUUAAAACUUAAUGAAACCUGUUUUUAAUUGUAAUUUGUGUCUUCAGUUCGCUGUCUCCUAGGCAUGAACCAUUCAUCUGUUUUAAGACUCUAUGAUUGAUUGAUUGAUUGAUCAUGACUGGCUGAAUGUCCAAUGGCAAAUAUUACAUGCAUAUUCAGGAAGUUGGGAACGAUUCAUGCCAAUCCUGAUAAAAAAUAAAGAAAUAUGCCUGAAGAAAAACAAUAACAGAGUAAGUGUUCCUGCAUUUUAACUUCAAAUAUUUCUUGUAGAGUGAGAAAAAUGUUAUGAAACACCAGCAAAAAAGAUUAGAUUGUUAUUCAGUCCUGACUUAUACAGUGUUUCUGAAGAUGGAGAUUAGGUAUGUAAUAAUGAGUUUUUAAUUUGAUAGAGUGUUGACUUUUAAAUUGUAAAAGUUUAAUGAGUUACUGUACGUUAAUCCCUUUAUUGUAUAAAAAUUCAACAAUUGAAAUUUAUUGUAUUAAAAAUUCAACUCACAUUGCUGUUCAAGUGCAUAGCAUAGCCAUCUUUAUCUUGCUGUAUCCAGAGGCAAUAUAUAUAUAUAAGAAGAUGUGGUGGUAUGGGUGCCAAUGAGACAACUCUCCAUCCAAGUCACAAUUUAUAAAAGUAAAUCAUCAUAGGUCAAAGUACGGACUUCAACACGGAGCAAGACUGUUAUUAAUGACAAUUAAGAGAGUGAAUAAUAUUAUAUAAACAAAAUAGACAUCAUAAUUAAAAGAAAGACAGACAGUUUCUUCAUCAAAUAUAAUAAAUUUUGGUAUGAUAACUAAAAAUGUUUGAAAUUGUUUUGAAUUUGUCGUUACUUCUUUCAGAUCAGGCCUAUCCAGAAGCAAGAAAAAGAACAAUUCAUAGCACGUACAUCUACAGAGAGAGACAUGUUUUAAAAAACAGAUUUAUUUUCAAUUUUAGAAAAACCUGUUGAACUUUUACUAUUUCUUAUCUGUUUAUUUUACAUUUAUAUGUUGAUAUUUUUUUUUUUUAAAUUGCUGCACAGUAAUUCUAUUCAGUCCCAUAUAACAAAAUCAGCUAAAGAAAUUGAUAUUUUCAUAUUUCAAGGGAGUGUCCUUUUGCAUUGUUGAUAGCAGAUAUAAGUAUUGUCUUAAGUUGGGUUUAAAAACAGUCAGAUCGCAACUUCAAAUAAAAUACAUUUUUAUGAAUGUUAUAUGUCAUUAAAUAGACAUGAAAGAUGGAAAAUUAUAUAGGAACACAUUUUUUAUGACCUAAAUGUAUUGUCAAGGUAAAUUUAUUAUUUGAACAUAUCAAAUAUUAUCAAAAACACUGCUGGUUUAAAAUAAAAUUAUUCUAUGUAGCCUAAUGUAAUCAUACAGAUCAGUGUAUUUUUUCCUAAACAAAUUUUACAUAUUUUUAUAACCAGAAUAAAUUUAUUCUGUGUCUCAACCUUAACAUAAUUACUGUACUAUCAAAAUAAAUUUAUUUUAUAUAUCAUAAUACUUUUAAUCCACAUUGAAUGUAGAAUAAAUUUAUUCUGUGUCGCCUCCUUAAUAUGAUAACUGUACUUUCAGAAUAAAUUUAUUUUAUAUAUUAUUAUACAAGACAAAAAUCACAUUGAACAUAGAAUAAAUUUAUUCUGUGU